rnacentral:lncRNA from 1 species
GUCUAGGAUUUGGAUUUAGGGUAUAGGUUUUAGGUUUGGGUUUAAGAUUUACCGUUUGGACUUAUGGUUAAAGUUUUGGGUUUAGGGUAUAUACUUUGGGUUUAAGGUUUACGGUUUGGGUUUAGGGUCUAGGACUUGAGUUUAGGGUAUAGAGUUUAGGUUUAUAGUCUAGUUUUUGGGUUUAUGGUAUAUAAUUUGGGUUUAGGAUCUAUGAUUAGGGUUUAGGGUUUAGGGUAUAGGGUUUGGGUUUAAGGGUUUGGAUUUGGGUUUAGAAUUUAGGGUAUGGGGUUUUGAAUUUAAGAUUUAGGGUUCAGGGUUUACGUGGAAGCAUUAGCGUCGUUAAAAUUAAAUUUUUUAUUUUUUGUAGCUAUUUUUUAUUUAAUUUAAUGUUUUUUAAUUCAUAAUCUAUGUGGAAAUUUGAUUGGUGCUAAAGAGUGGAGUGAAUUUAAAGGUUCACCCUCGUGAACCUAAGUUCUGUCCAUAAAAGAAACUCUUGAGAUCAAAAAUGAAGGUGGAAUGAGUUCAUAUAUACAGAUCCAAAAGAUAUUAGCUGAUAUAAAUGCAAGUUGUUCUAAAGGAAAGAUUACAAAACAAAGUGAAUUGAAGGACAUGCUGAUGGUUAUCAAAAGGGGAAAUAAGUGCUAAUCAAAACUAUUUUACUAGCUCUACUGGCUUACACUAUGUUUAUCUUCUUACUUUCUUUGGAGAUAUGU